rnacentral:rRNA from 1 species
UACGUAGGUGGCAAGCGUUGUCCGGAUUUACUGGGCGUAAAGAGCGCGCAGGCGGUCGUUACAAGUCGCGUGUGAAAGCCCCCGGCUUAACUGGGGACGGGUCAUUCAUACUGUUCAACUUGAAGGCAGGAGAGGGCAGCAGAAUUCCCGGGUGUAGUGGUGAAAUGCGUAGAUAAUCGGGAGGAAUACCAGUGGCGAAGGCGGCUGCCUGGCCUGUUCUUGAC